GGGGGCAUAGCUCAGUGGUAGAGUGCAUGCCUAGCAUGCACGAGGUCCUGGGUUCAAUCUCAAUACCUCCA
rnacentral:tRNA from 1 species